UGUUAGAGAUGUGAUUUCAAGUUUAUCAGCAAAAGUCGGCGCAGCUAAGAGCUUCACACAAGUAUCAGAUCGAUCCUUUCUGCUUGAGCUCCUGCCAGAGUCGCAGGAUGAAUUGCCGCCAAGAAGCAUGAAGGACAGCUUUGACAGUGCAAUCAUUCCCCUUGAAAGUGAAGUGAGACUAAGGGAAAAAUAUGUGACCUUC